UGUGGUGUAUUUCAAUGGUAGAAAGACCGUCUGAUGAGCGGUUAACGACAGUCCGACUCUGUCCACCACAACUA
rnacentral:tRNA from 1 species